rnacentral:lncRNA from 1 species
ACUAGGCCAGGACAUAAACUCAGAACUGAAGAUUUUGUAGAGAAUUAAUUUCUCUUGGAAUCUUAGAAAUAAAUAUAGAAGAAAAUCAAACCAAUAAAAGACUCAGUGUCCACUAACACUCAGGAUACUGUGGUAUAUAAGCACCCCAACCCUACAGGAAGCCCGAUGUGCCUGCGCGAUUUAACAUUAAUUAAGCAAUCAACUUCUUUUUGGCCAAUGACUACAGUUGAUCAGACAAUGUGUAACGCAAUAAAGUUGGGUCAUCCAAGCACCAGUAAAUAAAUACAUUUCCUCCCGAUCCCUAUUGUCUCAGACACUCCUCUCUCUACUUCAGAUUGGCUCGCUGCCUUAUCUUGCUCUAUCGUUCCUCCCUCGCUCAGUCCUGCUUAAGAUCACUUUUUUCUAACAUUGUGAAUUCCCUAAGCAUGGAAGUGAUGUUAGAAUCUAAGUGAAAAAAGAAAUAUGCAUAUACAUAGAGAUCUCAUGUAUAUUAUAUAUGUCACCAUCAUCACCACCAGAUGGUUCACCAAACCAAUGUUGAUGUCUCCACCAUGACCUCCAGAUGGUAUGCUCAUCCGGUGUUGUGUCUCCAUCAUCACCGCUAGAUGGUAUACCCGAUUGGCGUUGAUGUCUCCAUCAUCACCGCCAGAUGGUACGCCGAACCGGUAUUGAUGUCUCCAUCAUCACCACUAGAUUGUUUGCCUGGCCGGUGGUGGUAUGCGACUGAUUGCCGCCAAAUAAAACUCUAACGCAGCGGUGAUGGUAACGGUAGCACCCCGGACUGAAUGCUGAUCCGGAAGUGAACAAUACCAUCACCGGUUUUGGACCAGUGGUGAUCACCGACGCCUUUCACUAGCGACGACAGUGAAGAGAGGUUGAGAACUGGCGGUGAUGUACUUUAGUAGUGUUAUACUAGUAUAUAAUUGGAGUUGAUAUGGUUGUUUGUUUAUGGUGCGUAAUUUGCUACAUUUGUUAACUGCACUGUUCUGUAUCCAUAUUAAACAUGAUUCGUGGGAUAGAGGGAG